GCUGGUUUUAACGAAAUGGUUAUAAGUUAUAACCAAGUUAAAACCAACCCGUUCGCACGGGCGCGAGAGGUUUUAACGGUUUUAACUGUUUUGACAGAUCACAGCAAUCAGUGAAUAUUCUGUGCUGUCAUUUAUUUUCUUUUUUUUUUGUGAUGCUCUUUUCUUGACCAUCUGUUUCCGGUGAACCCUGAGGGCCAGAUUUUUGGCUCUUUUCUCUUCCGGUUAUGGGUAGGAUGAUUAACAGCCGGCUGAACUGCUGACCGAGGUUCAAAGUUGGUCACCGUUGCAACCAACUGGGACAUCCCUUCUCAAGGAAUCUCGUUGAAGCUGGACCAUUAAGAACUGCGCGCAUGAACGUAUCGACGAAACGUUCUACCUGACCGUUGGACCGUUGGGAUGAAACGGGGCGGUGGUGACGGGGCCGAUACCUUUCUAACUGAUUUCCGUUAUCCGAUACCAGGCUCUCUGGCAUCCUCAGAUGUGCUAACAAGCUUCGAAGGAUGGUAAUCGUUGCGAUGCUUAUGAUCAAGCGUUUCUGCACAAUAUCUGGCCACAUGGAGUAGGAGUCUACCAGCAGAACCAGCAGAAAGUACUUGCCGUCGUUCUGUCCACCGUAGUCGAGUGGACCUGUUGAUUUUGUCCAAGGGAUCAGAGGAGCUUGCAACGGUUCCUUGGCAGCAGCGGUACAGUUGGACUCGUUCGCACGUAAUCAGCGAAGGCCAGUACGCUGAAAGUGCGGGCCCCAACUUUCAUGCCGUCGAUUCCAGAUUGGCCAUGGUGGAGUUGGUCAAGAAAUCGCUUGCGCAGGUCAGAAAGAAACACGAGACGGUCGCAGAACAGGAUGCACCCUUGCAGAGUCACGAGCGAUUCGCUUUGAUUGUGGAACCACUCGAGAUCGUGAUCUGCGCAGGCAGGCAGCGCUUGGACGUACCGGUAGACCUUGUUCAGGACCGGGUCCUUGAGGCUGCAAUCUCGCACCGUAUUGUAGCUGAAUGCAAAACGUCGAACGACUCAAACGCUGCUGAUUUGACGGCAUCCUCGAGUGUGAAGAGUGCGAUCGUCGGGUUUUACGUGGCGGUUGAUGAGCCAAGACAGAAUGUCGACAUACCCAAAUUUGCCCGUGGCCAUGUACAAAUGUUUGUAUCACUCCCGGAAGAACGUAACGAGAAAACAAGAAGCUGAAAGAAUCGAUUUCCAUGAUCUUGGCUGCGCGAAAACUUGCUUCUAAAGAUGAAAAUUAAGACUGAGGUGAAAAAGGUUACCGAUGGAGCAAAAGGAUGUUGUUGAGAAGCUGACCAAACUUCGAAGUUUCUUUUACGCGUCUAUCUCGAUGUGUACAUACCCUAGUAACAUUUUUAAACUUACAGGUUUUAUCAUGGUUCUGAAAACCCUCAUACGUCCUAAAUAGGCUUUUAUGGCCUACUUAACGGUACACAUCAACCAUCGCUUUUGCACCCAGAUUUCUGUUACAGACAUUUUAGUAUCUUCAAAAAUACGGGAACUAUCGAUAUGAUUUUUUAUUCAUCCCCUAAAUUACAGUCUUCAAAGUUAUUUACAAUAAAGUUUGACCAUUUUGACAA